GCCUAGUCAUGCCAAUCGAGAGGAUGGAUGUACACUCCAUGAGCGGCAGACGGGAUGUAAUAACACGUGGGUAACCUACCUUUUACACGGAGAUAACCCCUGGACACGGGCGCUUCUCCCAGAUGGAAUCUUUCUUCGCAUGAAGGAGGAAGGAAAGGCCCAAACAACCCCUGCUAAAAAUAUGGGCCCCCGGCCCUAUUACCUAGUUGGGGGGGUAAAGGCUCACCAAGGCAACAAUGCGUACCCAACCUGAAAGGGUGACCGGCCCCCCUGGGACUGAAACACGGCCCAAACUCCUACGGGAGGCAGCAUUAGGGAAUCUCCCCAAUGGGCAAAAGCCUGACGGACCACCCCCGUGUGACCAAAAACGGCCUUCGGAUUGUAAAGCUCUGUCAUUUGGGACAAAAGGCAUGGAAAGGGAAUGCUCAAUGUGAAACGGUACCAAAGGAGGAAGCCCCGGCUAACUACUUGCCACCACCCGCGGUAAU
rnacentral:rRNA from 1 species